CGGCACCUCCAGGUCGUUUCCGUCGACAGUGUUGGACUAGUUGGUUCAAUCGAGACAGUCCCAGUGGAACAGGUGACUAUGAGGAUUUGAAGUCUCUGAGAGAAGCUUACCCAGGACAAAUUUGUGAGAAACCUAUCGACAUUCAGGCUGUUACUGCUGAUAAAGAAAUUCCAGCUGGAAAGACACAUCAGAAAUUCUAUGCCUACGACAAAAAAAGAGGCUUCAUUUGCCGCAAUAAGGACCAGAAACAUGGAUCCUGCUUUGACUACAAGGUUCGCUUUAGAUGCCCAUGUGGACUUCGUGGCUAAGUUCACUUCUGCCAAUGAUGGAAAAAAAAAAA